AUGCGUUACACGUAUCUCCGAUUGCCUCCAUUUGUCUUGCCACAGACAUACCCAACUGUCGCCAUAUACCAUAUAUCUAUAUAAUCCUUUCCAAUUUUCAACACCCAAAAUUCUAAGCAUCCGAAUAUUCCAAAACCAACGGAGGCUGCCAACUAGGGAACUACUCAACUAUUCUACGUAAUUGUCCGCAAAAGAUAUCCCAAAACCUGCGGGACAAUAACUCAGCAGGGCGGAAAAUAAUGAAGGCCGAGACUUUGACUCUGGUCCUGGUGAACCUGGCAGGGAUCAUGGAGAGGGCGGAUGAGUCAUUGUUACCAGGCGUUUACAAGGAAGUUGGUGCUGCCCUUCACGCCGACCCCACUGGACUCGGCUCUCUCACCUUGUUCAGAUCUAUCGUUCAAUCCGCUUGUUAUCCAAUUGCUGCAUACCUUGCUGUGCGUCACAAUCGAGCCCAUGUAAUAGCUCUUGGUGCGUUUUUAUGGGCUGCUGCCACUUUCCUUGUUGCCUUCUCCUCCAGUUUCUUUCAGGUGGCCAUAUCUAGAGCUUUAAACGGAAUUGGCCUUGCCAUUGUUGGACCUGCAAUCCAGUCCCUUGUUGCUGACUCAACAGAUGACAGUAACCGUGGUAUGGCUUUUGGGUGGUUACAGCUCACAAGCAAUCUUGGUUCUGUUAUUGGAGGAUUCAUUGCAGUACUAAUAGCUCCAAUAGCAUUCAUCGGUAUCCCUGGUUGGAGAAUUGCCUUCCAUCUGGUAGGACUAAUCAGCAUCAUUGUUGGUACGUUAGUCUACCUCUUUGCCAAUGAUCCACAUUUUUCUGAUAGUGGGGCAAAAUCUAGCAAUCAAAUGUCAAAUAGAACCUUAUGGUCUGAAGUGAAGGGCCUGGUUCUGGAAGCAAAAUCAGUCGUAAAGAUCCCAUCAUUUCAAAUUAUCGUUGCUCAAGGUGCUACUGGUUCAAUCCCCUGGUCUGCAUUGUCAUUUGCACCGAUGUGGUUGGAGCUAAUUGGGUUCUCCCACAAGAAAACUGCAUUCCUGAUAGCCAUGUUUGUGAUUGCUACUUCUGUGGGGGGCCUUUUUGGUGGUAGGAUGGGGGAUUUCCUGUCCACACGUCUCCCGAAUUCUGGAAGGAUCAUUCUAGCCCAAAUAAGCUCGGCAUCGGCCAUCCCUUUAGCAGCAAUACUCUUGCUUGUUUUACCUGAUGAUCCAUCCACAGGUGUGAUGCAUGGUUUGGUCUUAAUCAUUGUUGGCUUCUGCAUUUCCUGGAAUGCUCCAGCUGCAAACAAUCCAAUAUUUGCAGAAAUAGUUCCAGAGAAAUCAAGAACAAGCGUCUAUGCUUUGGACCGAUCUUUUGAAUCCAUCUUGUCAUCAUUCGCCCCUCCUGCAGUUGGAAUUCUAGCUCAGCACGUUUACGGUUACAAACCUAUUCAGAAAGGAGCAAGUGAAUCUGAAGAGAUUGCAACAGAUAGAGAAAACGCUUUGUCGUUGGCAAAAGCACUGUACACAGCAAUAGGAAUUCCGAUGGCACUCUGUUGUUUCAUCUAUUCAUUUCUCUACUUCACCUACCCGAAGGAUAGAGAGCGAGCUCAAAUGGAAGCAUUCAUAGAAUCUGAGAUGCGAGAGCUAUUGUCAGAUACUAUGCCUGAAGGUGGAGAUCAUUCUCAAGCUCAACCAUUUGAAUUGGAAGAACCAUAUAUUAAAGACAGAACCAUUAUAGAAGUGGAUUAUGAAGAUGAGGUUGACCUUGAUCCCGACGAAAAUGAUGAGAAGCCUAUACUUCACGCCAGUAGACACUCUCUUUGAUGUAUCGCGAGGAAUGUUACAGCAAUGACGAGGCAUCGCUUUCGUCCUGUUGACAUUUUGAACAAGCUGAAGUCAAUUUUAGUGUUGCUGCAACGGUCCUUUGCAUGAUUGAGUUCUUACCUGCUCUGGUCUUCUUCAGCGAUACGUAAUCUAAAAGGAAACGUACCUAAGUUUGAUAAAUUCAAAGGCAAACGGUUUCAAAAUCACUAAAAAGGACGGUAUAGAAGGCUCAAGCAACAAAGAGCAGGGUCCUAUAGAGCAGCAGCAUCUCAGGGAUUCUUACAUAAAUCCAUACAUUCUUGAAA